rnacentral:lncRNA from 1 species
UGAUACAUAAGAUACUUUUGCAUAUAUAGAUAUGAAACUAAGGAUAUUGUAGUUUUCUUUAUGUUGUAGCCUUUCAUAUACUUUAUUAAUUUGUUCUACUUUCUUUGCUACAUAUUUGGCUGCUAUAAGGUCUUUAGGACAUGCAUGGAAGAUUUCUUUAAUUAUUUCUAAUUUAGCAAAUCCUUGAAUAAAAAAAUUCUUCAAGGUCUCAUUGAUGAGCAAAGUUCAUA